rnacentral:snRNA from 1 species
AUCGCUUCUCAGCCUUUUGGCUAAGAUCAAGUGUAAUAAUAAAUACAGCAGUUAAACUCCAGGUAAUCCAUCAUUGGGCUCGUAUUUAACAGCUAAAGAAGCAAUUUCAAAUUUGAAGGCUACUCCAAUACUGCCUUUCAAAUUGAGGAUUC